rnacentral:rRNA from 1 species
AAUUCGAUGAUACGCGAGGGAGACGGUGACCCUGGGCUUGAACUGCAGCAGACGGAUCUAGAGAUAGUGACUCCGGUCCCCGCUGCGGUGGAGGUGCUGCAUGGUUGUCGUCAGCUCGUGCCGUGAGGUGUCGGCUUAAGUGCCAUAACGAGCGCAACCCUUUUCAUUAGUUGCCAUCAGGUAAUGCUGGGCACUCUGGUGAUACAUGAACAACACGUAAGGUGUGAGGAAGGUGGGGAUGACGUCAAAUCAGCACGGCCCUUACGUCCGGGGCUACACACGUGUUACAAUGGGUGGUACAGAGAGUCGGGUGUAUGCAAAUACAUUCUAAUCACGAAAGCCAUCCUCAGUUCGGAUUGGGGUCUGCAACCCGACCCCAUGAAGCUGGAUUCGCUAGUAAUCGGGCAUCAGCCAUGGCGCGGUGAAUACGUUCCCGGGCCUUGUACACACCGCCCUAAU